GAAUAUUGGACAAUGCCCGCAAGGGUGAUCCAGCCAUGCCGCGUGCAGGAAGACGGCCCUAUGGGUUGUAAACUGCUUUUACACCGGAGAAAACCCCCGCUCGUGAGCGGGGCUGAUAGUAUGGGGAGAAUAAGCAGCGGCGACCUUCGUGCCAGCAGCCGCGGUAAGACGAAGGAUGCAAGCGUUAUCCGGAUUCAUUGGGUUUAAAGGGAGCGUAGGUGGCCUUGUAAGUCAGUGGUGAAAUCUCUGGGCUUAACCCAGAAAUUGCCAUUGAUACUGCAGGGCUUGAGUACAGAUGCCGUUGGCGGAAUAUGACAUGUAGUGGUGAAAUACAUAGAGAUGUCAUAGAACACCGAUUGCGAAGGCAGCUAACGAAACUGUAACUGACACUGAGGCUCGAAAGUGUGGGGAUCAAACAGG
rnacentral:rRNA from 1 species